rnacentral:rRNA from 1 species
UAGUCGGGACCUAAGCUGAGGCCGAAAGGCGUAGGUGAUGGACAACAGGUUGAUAUUCCUGUACUACCGAUAACCGGUUGAGAGAAGGGAUGACACAGUAGGAUAAGCUAAGCACACUGUUGGUUAUGUGUGCCCAAGCAUUGAGGCAGUCAAAGUAGGCAAAUCCGCUUUGAUAAUGCUGGGAUGUGAUGGGGAGCGAAAUUU